AUUGAACGCUGGCGGCAGGCCUAACACAUGCAAGUCGAGCGGAUGAAGGGAGCUUGCUCCUGGAUUCAGCGGCGGACGGGUGAGUAAUGCCUAGGAAUCUGCCUGGUAGUGGGGGAUAACGUCCGGAAACGGGCGCUAAUACCGCAUACGUCCUGAGGGAGAAAGUGGGGGAUCUUCGGACCUCACGCUAUCAGAUGAGCCUAGGUCGGAUUAGCUAGUUGGUGGGGUAAAGGCCUACCAAGGCGACGAUCCGUAACUGGUCUGAGAGGAUGAUCAGUCACACUGGAACGGAGACACGGUCCAGACUCCUACGGGAGGCAGCAGUGGGGAAUAUUGGACAAUGGGCGAAAGCCUGAUCCAGCCAUGCCGCGUGUGUGACGAAGGUCUUCGGAUUGUAAAGCACUUUAAGUUGGGAGGAAGGGCAGUAAGUUAAUACCUUGCUGUUUUGACGUUACCAACAGAAUAAGCACCGGCUAACUUCGUG
rnacentral:rRNA from 1 species